rnacentral:rRNA from 1 species
UACGAAGGGGGCUAGCGUUGUUCGGAAUCACUGGGCGUAAAGCGCGCGUAGGCGGGGGGUUAAGUGAGAGGUGAAAGGCUGGGGCUCAACCUCAUGCAGUGCCUCUCAUACUGGCCUUCUUGAGGGCGGUAGGGAGAAGUGGAAUGGCUGGUGUAGCGGUGAAAUGCGUAGAUAUCAGUCGGAACACCGGUGGCGAAGGCGGCUUCUUGGGCCGUUCCUGACGCUGAUGCGCGAAAGCUGGGGGAGCGAACGGG